rnacentral:rRNA from 1 species
CGGCGGACGGGUGAGUAACACGUGGGCAACCUACCUUGUAGAUUGGGAUAACUCCCGGGAAACCGGGGGCUAAUACCGAAUAAUCCAUUUUGCUUCAUGGCGAGAUGUUAAAAGGCGGCUUCGGCUGUCACUACGAGAUGGGCCCGCGGCGCAUUAGCUAGUUGGUAGGGGUAAUGGCCUACCAAGGCGACGAUGCGUAGCCGACCUGAGAGGGUGGAUCGGCCACACUGGGACUGAGACACGGCCCAGACUCCUACGGGAGGCAGCAGUAGGGAAUCUUCCACAAUGGACGAAAGUCUGAUGGAGCAACGCCGCGUGAGUGAAGAAGGUUUUCGGAUCGUAAAACUCUGUUGUAAGGGAAGAACACGUACGAGAGUAACUGCUCGUACCUUGACGGUACCUUAUUAGAAAGCCACGGCUAACUACGUG